AUGAAGUUGGGCCUCAUCUGGGUUUUCUUUGUUGCACUUUUGAAAGGCUUCCAGUGUCAGGUGCAGCUCGUGGAGACAGGGGGAGGCUUGGUGCAGCCUGGGAAAUCUCUAAAACUCACCUGUGCCACCUCAGGAUUCACUUUCAGUAACGCCUGGAUGAACUGGGUCCGCCAGUCUCCAGAGAAGGGGCUAGAGUGGAUUGCUCAAAUUAAAGUCAAAUCUAACAAUUAUGCAACCUACUAUGCGGAGUCUGUGAAAGGAAGAUUCACCAUCUCAAGAGAUGACUCCAAAAGCAGCGUUUACCUGCAGAUGAAUAGCUUAAAAGAGGAAGACACUGCCAUUUAUUACUGUGCCAGGCACAGUGAGAGGCCAUCAGUGUAA